GGGAGCGUAGCUCAGAUGGCAGAGAGCUCGCUUGGCAAGUGAGAGGUACGGGGAUCACAAAACCCCGCGCCUCCU